AGAGUUUGAUCAUGGCUCAGAUUGAACGCUGGCGGCAGGCCUAACACAUGCAAGUCGAACGGUAACAGGAAGCAGCUUGCUGCUUUGCUGACGAGUGGCGGACGGGUGAGUAAUGUCUGGGAAACUGCCUGAUGGAGGGGGAUAACUACUGGAAACGGUAGCUAAUACCGCAUAACGUCGCAAGACCAAAGAGGGGGACCUUAGGGCCUCUUGCCAUCGGAUGUGCCCAGAUGGGAUUAGCUAGUAGGUGGGGUAACGGCUCACCUAGGCGACGAUCCCUAGCUGGUCUGAGAGGAUGACCAGCCACACUGGAACUGAGACACGGUCCAGACUCCUACGGGAGGCAGCAGUGGGGAAUAUUGCACAAUGGGCGCAAGCCUGAUGCAGCCAUGCCGCGUGUAUGAAGAAGGCCUUCGGGUUGUAAAGUACUUUCAGCGGGGAGGAAGGGAGUAAAGUUAAUACCUUUGCUCAUUGACGUUACCCGCAGAAGAAGCACCGGCUAACUCCGUGCCAGCAGCCGCGGUAAUACGGAGGGUGCAAGCGUUAAUCGGAAUUACUGGGCGUAAAGCGCACGCAGGCGGUUUGUUAAGUCAGAUGUGAAAUCCCCGGGGCUCAACCUGAGAACUGCAUCUGAUACUGGCAAGCUUGAGUCUCGUAGAGGGGGGGUAGAAUUCCAGGUGUAGCGGUGAAAUGCGUAGAGAUCUGGAGGAAUACCGGUGGCGAAGGCGGCCCUCUGGACGAAGACUGACGCUCAGGUGCGAAAGCGUGGGAGCAAACAGGAUUAGAUACCCUG
rnacentral:rRNA from 1 species